GAAGCGGGUUCAGUUAGAUCCAUUUCUCACCACUUGGUUCUGCCCCUGCCUCUAAAAGUUUUGAACCUCAUCCAGUAAUGUUAGGUUUUGAAGUCUUAGCCCAUCAUCGGAGGCAGUGAUGGAGCCAGAGAUUUUAUUAAGAGAAUUCAACUUUUAUAAAAAUAAUUUUGGGUACACGAAUAAAAUCUCAUACUAUUGGCUGAAAAGAUUAGAGUCAAAAUAUAAGGUGUAAGAAUCUCUUAAUUGGAAGGAAGGUUUUUGGAUAAAACCGUACAAGUUUGGCCCAAAAAGGUAAUAAUAUCACGCCAUAUUUAAGGUAUCUAUGGGUUGCUUCAGCAGCAACUGGUAAUUGGAGGAGUAUGGUGGCAGAGUGAUGGUGUGGGGCUAGAUCUACUUUUCC
rnacentral:lncRNA from 1 species